UCCACUUACUGGAGGUACCGGUAAACGCUUGAAAGUAUACUAUACGUAAAACGAAUAUUAAUGUUCAUCAUUAAUAUAAAAUGUUGCAUGUAUUGCAUGUCCAUACAUGUACAAAUUGUCCGUGUAUUCUUCAUUAGGAUUGACACAUGAUGUGUUAAUAGCGAAACGCACUGUAUAAGACACAUGAUCGCGCACACACCCACACACACAUUAAAUAUUGUGAUUUUUGACAGACAUGCAGAGGCAGGCAGCCAUCAAUCCUUGUUCCUCAAGCCAGGAUGAAGACAUUUUUUUUACUCCUCAACAGCCUGACCCUCCUGCUUCAGUUCCUAAUGAGGACAGAGAUUAUCCUCUUUUGGAAUUGUAUCACUCUGCCUCUGAAGAGCAGGAAGAGGAGCAGUUCAAUUUGGAAGACACUCCUCUAGAAUUCCAGCAGU